AGCCAUGCGAGUNUAAAGGUUUNUUNGGAAACCUUGGCGGACUGCUCAGUAACACGUGGAUAACCUNCCUUGGGACUGGAAUAACCCCGGGAAACUGGGGAUAAUANNGNAUAGAUCAGGGAUGCUGGAAUGCACCUUGAUCCAAAGCUCCGGCGCCCANGGAUGGGUCUGCGGCCUAUCAGGUAGUAGUGGGUGUAACGUACNUACUAGCCAACGACGGGUACGGGUUGUGAGAGCAAGAGCCCGGAGAUGGAUUCUGAGACACGAAUCCAGGCCCUACGGGGUGCAGCAGGCGCGAAACCUUUACAAUGUGCGAAAGCAUGAUAAGGGAACUCCGAGUGCCAGCAUCUAAUGUUGGCUGUCCUUGUGCCUAAAACGCACAAGAUAGCAAGGGCCGGGUAAGACCGGUGCCAGCCGCCGCGGUAACACCGGCGGCCCGAGUGGUAGCCGCUAUUAUUGGGUCUAAAGGGUCCGUAGCCGGUUCGAUAAGUCCUCUGGGAAAUCUGGUUGCUUAACAAUCAGACUGCCAAGGGAUACUGUCGAACUUGAGACCGGGAGAGGUAAGAGGUACUUCAGGGGUAGGAGUGAAAUCUUGUAAUCCCUGGGGGACCAUCUGUGGCGAAGGCGUCUUACCAGAACGGGUCUGACGGUGAGGGACGAAAGCUGGGGGCGCAAACCGGAUUAGAUACCCGGGUAGUCCCAGCCGUAAACGAUGCUCGCUAUGUGUCAGGUACGGUGUGACCGUAUCUGGUGCCGUAGGGAAGCCGUGAAGCGAGCCACCUGGGAAGUACGGCCGCAAGGCUGAAACUUAAAGGAAUUGGCGGG
rnacentral:rRNA from 1 species